GGUGUUCCUGUGCAUAGUCAGCGGCGUAAACCUCUGCUAGUACACUGAAUGGAGGGUUCAUCACCUCACACGUUCUGUCAGGUGUCCCACACUGUGACAUGGCCUGUGACGUUGACAUGGUGAACAUGUCUUUGACUAUAAAAGGAGAAAGAAGACUGCUGAGAAGUUAUUUUGAAAGUAGAGUCGACAAGACCACAUCCUGCCAUUGUCCUACGAUGGGGAUGUGGCUGGGCUGAGGACAGUGCUGCUACAGGGACAGGGAGAGGCUGAACUCUGUAACAACAGAUGUAACCUUGGGAACAUCCGAAGAGGAUUCUGGCUGAGCACUGAGACAGGAAUAGGAAUAUCCAGGACACCUACAGCACCCAGUGUUCACAGGAAGGCCCAAGAAGAUCAUCAAGGACCUCUGCCAUAUGUACAUAGUCAUUGAACACUGGUCACUUUAAUAAUGUUUACAUUACUGUUUUAACCACUUCAUAUGCAUAUACUGUAUUCUGGUUCAUCCUAUAUAACUACUGCUGUCCACUUCAU
rnacentral:lncRNA from 1 species